rnacentral:lncRNA from 1 species
UAAAUGAUUAGUAUCGGAUCGUUGGCGCUAACCAUUAAUUCCAAAAGCUCGAACUGUUAGAAAUACGUAAUCAAUUCACUUAAAGCGUACAAAUACAGCACCCACGGAUCUCAAUUGUGACUCGGCUCAUCCGGGCUCACGCCACUUCGAACAUGACUCGGCCUAUUCAGCCUCACGCCAUUUCGAACAUGACUCGGCCCAACCCGGUCUUCCGUCAUAGGGCAGGAUGCUGGACCAUUUAAGUCAACAAUUAGAACUGCCAAGCACG